UGAAAAGCGUUGAGUAAGGAUAGUAGUAGUGUGAAAGGAUUACAGAGAGUCGGCGUAGGUGAGAGUCCGAUAUCAAUAAAUACUAUGAAUGGGCUUACGAGUGGAGACUGAAUUAAAGUAGGAACCCCGGGUUCUCCCGUUAUAGAGAUAGAAUAUCGGCCAUUGUGGCCCGUAUUUGAAUGAGUGGGUUUUUCUAUACCAAUUUGAGGUGGCACCGCGAGCAAUCGUCCUCUAU
rnacentral:ncRNA from 1 species